GACGAACGCUGGCGGCGUGCUUAACACAUGCAAGUCGAACGCUGAAGCACCAGCUUGCUGGUGUGGAUGAGUGGCGAACGGGUGAGUAAUGCGUGAGUAACCUGCCCUUGACUCUGGGAUAAGCCCGGGAAACUGGGUCUAAUACUGGAUGCUACAUGUCACCGCAUGGUGGUGUGUGGAAAGGGUUUACUGGUCUUGGAUGGGCUCACGGCCUAUCAGCUUGUUGGUGAGGUAAUGGCUCACCAAGGCGACGACGGGUAGCCGGCCUGAGAGGGUGACCGGCCACACUGGGACUGAGACACGGCCCAGACUCCUACGGGAGGCAGCAGUGGGGAAUAUUGCACAAUGGGCGAAAGCCUGAUGCAGCGACGCCGCGGGAGGGAUGACGGCCUUCGGGUUGUAAACCUCUUUCAGCAGGGAAGAAGCCACAAGUGACGGUACCUGCAGAAGAAGCGCCGGCUAACUACGUG
rnacentral:rRNA from 1 species